rnacentral:rRNA from 1 species
CGAACGCUGGCGGCGUGCUUAACACAUGCAAGUCGACCGGCAAGGCCCUGCUUUUGUGGGGUGCUCGAGUGGCGAACGGGUGAGUAACACGUGAGUAACCUGCCCUUGACUUUGGGAUAACUUCAGGAAACUGGGGCUAAUACCGGAUAGGAGCUCCUGCUGCAUGGUGGGGGUUGGAAAGUUUCGGCGGUUGGGGAUGGACUCGCGGCUUAUCAGCUUGUUGGUGGGGUAGUGGCUUACCAAGGCUUUGACGGGUAGCCGGCCUGAGAGGGUGACCGGCCACAUUGGGACUGAGAUACGGCCCAGACUCCUACGGGAGGCAGCAGUGGGGAAUAUUGCACAAUGGGCGGAAGCCUGAUGCAGCAACGCCGCGUGCGGGAUGACGGCCUUCGGGUUGUAAACCGCUUUCGCCUAUGACGAAGCGUGAGUGACGGUAAUGGGUAAAGAAGCACCGGCUAACUACGUG